CCUACGGGGGGCAGCAGUGAGGAAUAUUGGUCAAUGGGCGAGAGCCUGAACCAGCCAAGUCGCGUGAGGGAGUACUGCCCUAUGGGUUGUAAACCUCUUUUGUCGGGGAGCAAAAGCCGGACGUGUCCGGCUGUGAGAGUACCCGAAGAAAAAGCAUCGGCUAACUCCGUGCCAGCAGCCGCGGUAAUACGGAGGAUGCGAGCGUUAUCCGGAUUUAUUGGGUUUAAAGGGUGCGCAGGCGGAUUUUUAAGUCAGCGGUCAAAUCGUGGGGCUCAACCCCAUCCAGCCGUUGAAACUGGGGAUCUAGAGUGUGCGAGAGGUAUGCGGAAUGCGUGGUGUAGCGGUGAAAUGCUUAGAUAUUGCGCAGAACUCCGAUUGCGAAGGCAGCAUACCGGCGGCGAUCUGACGCUGAGGCACGAAAGUGUGGGUAUCGAACAGGAUUAGAUACCCUUGUAGUC
rnacentral:rRNA from 1 species